rnacentral:rRNA from 1 species
GGAAUCCAAGUUUAAACUCCCAACCCCUGUGACAUACCACUUGUUGCCUCGGCGGAUCAGCCCGCUCCCGGUAAAACGGGACGGCCCGCCAGAGGACCCCUAAACUCUGUUUCUAUAUGUAACUUCUGAGUAAAACCAUAAAUAAAUCAAAACUUUCAACAACGGAUCUCUUGGUUCUGGCAUCGAUGAAGAACGCAGCAAAAUGCGAUAAGUAAUGUGAAUUGCAGAAUUCAGUGAAUCAUCGAAUCUUUGAACGCACAUUGCGCCCGCCAGUAUUCUGGCGGGCAUGCCUGUUCGAGCGUCAUUUCAACCCUCAAGCACAGCUUGGUGUUGGGACUCGCGUUAAUUCGCGUUCCUCAAAUUGAUUGGCGGUCACGUCGAGCUUCCAUAGCGUAGUAGUAAAACCCUCGUUACUGGUAAUCGUCGCGGCCACGCCGUUAAACCCCAACUUCUGAAUGUUGACCUCGGAUCAGGUAGGAAUACCCGCUGAACUUAAGCAUAUCAAUAAGCGGAGGAA